GACGAACGCUGGCGGCGUGCUUAACACAUGCAAGUCGAACGGAAAGGCCCUGCUUGCAGGGUGCUCGAGUGGCGAACGGGUGAGUAACACGUGGGUGAUCUGCCCCUUACUUUGGGAUAAGCCUGGGAAACUGGGUCUAAUACUGGAUAGGACCAUGCUGUAGGUGGUGUGGUGGAAAGAUUAGUUUCGGUAAGGGAUGAGCUCGCGGCCUAUCAGCUUGUUGGUGGGGUAAUGGCCUACCAAGGCGUCGACGGGUAGCCGGCCUGAGAGGGUGGACGGCCAACAUGGGGACUGGGAUACGGCCCGGACCCCACGGGAGGGAGGCGGGGGGAAAUAUGGCACAAUGGGGGAAAGCCUAAGGCGGGACCGCGCGGUGGGGGUGAAGGGCCUCGGGGUUUAAACUCCUUUCAGCCAUGACGAAGCCCUUGUGGUGACGGUAGUGGUAGAAGAAGCACCGGCUAACUACGUG
rnacentral:rRNA from 1 species